UAGCUAUGGUGUAACAAACUAACAAAUUAUCAAUUAAAAUAAAAGAAAACUAUGUAUAAGAAAGCUUCCUAUGUAAUUCCCAUGCUACGUGUAGAGUGGGAAUAUUGGGUGCUCCAAGUUUUAUUCUUCCAGUUGUAUUGAUCAACGGAUGAGAUAUGGGUAACUUGGUGUGAGAUGAACGGUUGAGAUCAUUUUGUCCUUUAAUCAUAGGAAGAUCCGAAGUCUUUGACUUAGUAGAUAUCGACUUAGGUUCCUUCUUCAAAGUGAUACAUAAAUCCUCUUCCUUUCUCUGUAAAUCAUCUUCCUCUCUUUGGAAAUCACCAUUUGUGGAUGAAGAAACCCCCAACUUGCACAAGUUUGUGAGAUGAGCCGGAUCGGAGAGGGAUUUGUAAAGAUGUCGGCGAUCUGAGAAUUUGAAGGGACAAAAGAGAGGGAAAUGAGUCCACCAAGGUACUGUUGGCAUACGGAAUGGCAAUCAAGAACAAUAUGUUUCGUACGCUCGUGAAAGACCUGAUUUUUGGCGAUAUGAAUGGCAUCCUGACUAUUGGAGUGAAGAGGGACAUAUAAAUUUGGUUGAAUCGAAAGAUCUGUGAGUAAUCGAACCCCGGCAGGCAAUUUUACCAACAACACGUCGCAUAGAUCGAUACUCCGCCUCGGCAAAUAAGAGUGAAACCAAAGAUUUUAUGUUGGUUUUCCAAGAAACAUGGGAACCACCGAGAGUGAUGAAAAAAUCACUUAUGGAUUUGUGAGAGUUAGGGCAUCUCCCCCAGUCAGAAUCACAAAAGGCAAGGAGAUUGAAAUUUUGGGAAGAAGACAAGAAAAUACCAAGAUCAGGAUCGAGGAGAAAGUAACGAAGGCAUCUUAAAGCAACAUCCAUAUGUGAGGUGUUUGCAUAUAUUGACUAAGGUGUUGAACGAAAAAGCUAAGGUCAAGUCGUGAAUGGAUAAUUUUGAACAAUGACUGAGGGAGAAGAAACAGGCUUCAAGUCAAGACAAUAAGAGGUCCAAGGAUCUUUCCACUGGAAAGGUGAAGGAGAUUGGUAGAUGGGAGAUUGGACUCUACAUCUUAGUGAAUCAAGCUCACAACCCAAAUAGAUGAAUUGCACUGAUAGCCUGGCAACACUGAUCAACAAAAAUAUACUUGGAGGAAUGUAGAAGAGAUUCAAUUGUGGCACAUAAGAUUGGGCGUCAUGUCCUAUCUCUAGAAGAUGAGUAAUAGCUUACUUAAUCAAGUUAGGAGAUUCAUUAGUCACUUGAAAGUCAAAGAAACAGACAACUAUUUGUAGGAGCUCAAAUAGGAAUCAGAGUACAGAAGCAUUGUAUCAACUUAUCUGAGCCGGUAUGGAGGCUAGGAUUAUUUAAAGAACUAGGAGUUGAUCACAAGAAGCUAGUUGACAUUUUCAGUGAUAGUAAGGCAGCAAUUCAGAUUGCAGCAAAUCCUGUAUAUCAUGAAAGGACCAAGCACAUUGAAAUAGACUUCCACUUUAUAAGGGAAAAAAUAAUGCAAAGGAUGGUAGCAACAAAAUAUAUCCCUACAUUGGGACAACCUGCUGACAUAUUGACUAAAGGACUUACCAGGGUUCAACAUGAAUAUCUAAGUUCCAAGCUAGGUUUUUGAACAUAUUUGACAUACCCCAUACCUAGCUUGAGGGGGAGUGUGGAAGGAAUGAAAUAGGAAGCAUGUAACUAGAAGGGUAGAUGGUAAUUUCUCUGUGUCAUUAAGUUAGUUAAUUAUGAUUAUGAUUAGUUAGUUACUUUACUUUAUGUAUAUAUACUCAUGUAUACCAUGUAUA